rnacentral:rRNA from 1 species
UACGUAGGGUGCAAGCGUUAAUCGGAAUUACUGGGCGUAAAGCGUGCGCAGGCGGUUGUGCAAGACAGGUGUGAAAUCCCCGGGCUUAACCUGGGAACUGCAUUUGUGACUGCACGGCUAGAGUGUGUCAGAGGGGGGUAGAAUUCCACGUGUAGCAGUGAAAUGCGUAGAGAUGUGGAGGAACACCGAUGGCGAAGGCAGCCCCCCUGGGAUAACACUGACGCUCAUGCACGAAAGCGUGGGGAGCAAACAGG